rnacentral:rRNA from 1 species
GGCGGCGUGCUUAACACAUGCAAGUCGAGCGGAAAGGCCCUUCGGGGUACUCGAGCGGCGAACGGGUGAGUAACACGUGAGUAACCUCCCCUAGGCUUUGGGAUAACCCUCGGAAACGGGGGCUAAUACCGAAUAUUCAUGUCGUGUGGCAUCACAUGGUGUGGAAAGUUUUUCGGCUUGGGAUGGGCUCGCGGCCUAUCAGCUUGUUGGUGGGGUGAUGGCCUACCAAGGCGACGACGGGUAGCCGGCCUGAGAGGGCGACCGGCCACACUGGGACUGAGACACGGCCCAGACUCCUACGGGAGGCAGCAGUGGGGAAUAUUGCACAAUGGGCGGAAGCCUGAUGCAGCGACGCCGCGUGAGGGAUGAAGGCCUUCGGGUUGUAAACCUCUUUCGACAGGGACGAAGCGUGAGUGACGGUACCUGGAGAAGAAGCGCCGGCCAACUACGUGCCAGCAGCCGCGGUAAGACGUAGGGCGCGAGCGUUGUCCGGAUUUAUUGGGCGUAAAGAGCUCGUAGGCGGCUUGUUGCGUCAGCUGUGAAAACCCGCAGCUCAACUGUGGGCUUGCAGCUGAUACGGGCAGGCUUGAGUUCGGUAGGGGAGACUGGAAUUCCUGGUGUAGCGGUGAAAUGCGCAGAUAUCAGGAGGAACACCGGUGGCGAAGGCGGGUCUCUGGGCCGAUACUGACGCUGAGGAGCGAAAGCGUGGGGAGCGAACAGGAUUAGAUACCCUGGUAGUCCACGCUGUAAACGUUGGGCGCUAGGUGUGGGGGGCCUCUCCGGUUCUCUGUGCCGCAGCUAACGCAUUAAGCGCCCCGCCUGGGGAGUACGGCCGC